rnacentral:rRNA from 1 species
GACGAACCGUGCAAACGUUGUUCGGAAUCACUGGGCUUAAAGGGCGCGUAGGCGGGUGGUCAAGUCAGGGGUGAAAUCUUUCGGCUCAACCGGAAAAUUGCCUUUGAUACUGGCCGUCUUGAGCGAGGUAGGGCAUGUGGAACUUCCGGUGGAGCGGUGAAAUGCGUUGAUAUCGGAAGGAACGCCGGUGGCGAAAGCGACGUGCUGGACCUCUUCUGACGCUGAGGCGCGAAAGCUAGGGGAGCGAACGGG